GCUCAGUGUGGGUUGCGCCAUCAGGAGACGACGGAGAUCGACGUUAAGUGCGCGAACUUUAAAUGGUUGUUCGAGAGCAAAGUAUCCCGGCGAGGAAGCGAGGAACGCCCGACGGUGCGGAAAGCUGGAUCAAAACUUGGCAAAUGGAGAUUAACUUAAAGAAAACGGUACGCUAGACGGAUCCGGCAGUAUUUCCAUGGAAAUCACGGAGGCUAAAAUAGGAAUGGAGGCCACAGAGAACGCCAGCCGGAAACACACACAACCCAGG